AGUGAACGCUGGCGGUAGGCCUAACACAUGCAAGUCGAACGGCAGCACAGUAAGAGCUUGCUCUUACGGGUGGCGAGUGGCGGACGGGUGAGGAAUACAUCGGAAUCUACUUUUUCGUGGGGGAUAACGUAGGGAAACUUACGCUAAUACCGCAUACGACCUACGGGUGAAAGCAGGGGAUCUUCGGACCUUGCGCGAUUGAAUGAGCCGAUGUCGGAUUAGCUAGUUGGCGGGGUAAAGGCCCACCAAGGCGACGAUCCGUAGCUGGUCUGAGAGGAUGAUCAGCCACACUGGAACUGAGACACGGUCCGGACUCCUACGGGAGGCAGCAGUGGGGAAUAUUGGACAAUGGGCGCAAGCCUGAACCAGCCAUACCGCGUGGGUGAAGAAGGCCUUCGGGUUGUAAAGCCCUUUUGUUGGGAAAGAAAAGCAGCAGGUUAAUACCCCGCUGUUCUGACGGUACCCAAAGAAUAAGCACCGGCUAACUUCGUG
rnacentral:rRNA from 1 species